UACGGAGGGUGCGAGCGUUAAUCGGAAUUACUGGGCGUAAAGCGCAUGUAGGCCGUGUGGCAAGUUAGGGGUGAAAUCCCAGGGCUCAACCUUGGAACUGCCUCUAAAACUACCAUGCUUGAGUGCGAGAGAGGACAGCGGAAUUCCAGGUGUAGGAGUGAAAUCCGUAGAUAUCUGGAAGAACAUCAGCGGCGAAGGCGGCUGUCUGGCUCGUAACUGACGCUGAGAUGCGAAAGCGUGGGUAGCAAAC
rnacentral:rRNA from 1 species